UCCCCAUUCAAGUAGAUAAGAGCUGCACUGGCAUGACUGGAAAUAGCCUCCCGAGAGCAUUCCAAAGAUGGCCGACAGUGGACUGAUUUGCUAGAAAGACUUUGGUUGCACUCACGUUCUCAUGCGGAUCCAGCCGAACUUUUGAUCCUGAUCCUGAAGUUUUUGAUUCUGGCUGAUGGAAUAUGUGCUUCAGAGGAAGAUAUUAGAUGAGCGCUCGACGGGAAGAAAAUGCUGGACUUUCGUGAGAAAGGUUACAGGGAACUGUUCAGGAGAGACUGUUAGAAUAUGUGCUUUAGAGGUAAAUAAAUGAGCACUCCACAGGAUGCUGGAUCUGCUGAAGUUGUGUGAGACAAGACAGUUACAAGUUACAGGGAACUGUUGAGGAGAGAGAGGGGUAAUGAAACAGUAAAGGCACUCCUGUAGCAAUUCACAAAUAAAUGUUGGAGUAAUUCCCAUCGUCCUACAAGUAUGACAUACUAUUGAUUGUUAAAGAGGAAAGUGAGGACAUGAGUUAUCCAG